UACGUAGGCAGCGAGCGUUGUUCGGAAUUACUGGGCGUAAAGAGUGUGUAGGCGGUGCUCUAAGUUCGGUGUGAAAUCUCCUGGCUCAACUGGGAGGGUGCGCCGGAAACUGGAGUGCUUGAGCGUGGGAGAGGAAAGCGGAAUUCCUGGUGUAGCGGUGAAAUGCGCAGAUAUCAGGAGGAACACCGGUGGCGAAGGCGGUUCUCUGGGCAUGUCCUGACGGCUGAGGAGCGAAAGUGUAGGGGAGCGAACAGG
rnacentral:rRNA from 1 species